GCCGUGGGGAGCUGUGGUGGAGCUGUGGUGCUGCAUUGGUUGUCAUGUUGCGUUAGCGUGUAGCCUUUGCAUCAGUGUGUGGGUCCAAUGCAGGUCAUGGUGAGACUCCUGCAGAGUCCGACCCCGGCCGGUGGUGCCGACGGGUAGACACACUGACGCCCCGUCCGCCUGUAGGCUGCAGCUGCAGUACAUGGCCAACAUCCGAAGGCGAUGUAGAGCACAGAGGGUUCAGUGGACAGCCCAAGGAGCCAUCUUCAGCCCAGAGUGGGCAUGAACAACAUGGCCAGAACCACCUCGAACACGGUACCGUUGGCCCAGAAGAUCGGGAAUAUUCAAGGUCUCCUCUGCACCCCUGCAACAAGAAAUGAGGUUAACCUUAGAAAAAAACAAAAAAGAACAACUGAAAACGAGGACACCACGACGGCAUGCAGGGGCAGUUACAUUAUGGGAUGGUCAUGAUGCAGGUGUCCUAAAUGGUAAGGGGUCUGCCUAUCUCUGGCCCAGACCACCGCUCCAUGGUCCCACCCUGGUCCUACCCUGGUCCGACCCUGGUCCAAGGACGACUGGCCGACAUUGAGCAGGAAACAGAGGUGGUAAAACCUUUUGCAAACCAGCAUCACCAACAUGUACAGGCUGUACUCAGAGGUACGUUUUGAUUAUUAUUAUUAUUAUUAUUAUUAGUAGUAGUAGUAGUAGCAGUAUUAUUGAUCAUUGGGAGCAUUGGAAAUGUUGGUGUUACAAAUGAUGUAUUAUAAAUUAUUGAUUAAAGAUUGUAUUUAUAGAAAAGCAUACAGGUCAUGGCCCUCAGGGACAUUAUUGUUGUUCCGAUUUAUCCACAUGAAUGGAUAAAGUAUUAGUGGUUUGAGACGAGUGGAGUUAUUCUUGUUAUCCACUUUGUUCUCAAUCCAAAAGUUGCAAUGCUCUUUCAGUAAGCCAAGUAUGAUGACCUUGUAUCUAGUAUCUUGUACUUGUGGAUUUAAGGAGAUUUUAAAUGCAUGCAAACAAAACAACAUGGGCCCUUAAUGGUCUGAGAUUACAAAACAUUAACCAUUUAACCAUUUAAGUGUGAGUAUGUGUGUGUGCUUGUUAACCAUUUAAGUGUGAGAGUGUGUUUGUGUGUGUGUGUGUGUGUGUGUGUGUGUGUGUGUGUGUGUGUGUGUGUGUGUGUGUGUGUGUGUGUGUGUGUGUAUGUGUGUGUGUGUGUGUGUGUGUGUGUGUGUGUGUGUGUGUGUGUGUGUGUGUAUUAUGUUGAUCGCUGCAGCAAUGAUGCUCUAUUAUCAUGAUUGGUGUUUUUAAAAGGAUUGUGGGUUUGAUUUCACCAGUAGCAGAUA
rnacentral:lncRNA from 1 species